AUACGUAGGUGGCAAGCGUUAUCCGGAUUUACUGGGCGUAAAGGGCGUGUAGGCGGUCUUGCAAGUCAGAAGUGAAAUUCCUGAGCUCAACUCGGGCGCUGCUUCUGAAACUGCAGGACUUGAGUGCUGGAGGGGAUAGCGGAAUUCCUAGUGGAGCGGUAAAAUGCGCAGAUAUUAGGAAGAACACCGGUGGCGAAGGCGGCUAUCUGGACAGUAACGGACGCUGAGGCGCGAAAGCGUGGGGAGCAAACAGGAUUAGAUACCCUGGUAGUCCACGCUGUAAACGAUGAAUACUAGGUGUAGGGGGUAUCGACUCCCUCUGUGCCGCAGUUAACACAAUAAGUAUUCCGCCUGGGGAGUACGGCCGCAAGGUUGAAACUCAAAUGAAUUGACGGGG
rnacentral:rRNA from 1 species